UUCAUGUUUUCGAUUCAAAUUCACAUUCUAAUUCAUCAAAUCAAUUCUCAAUUCUCAAUUUUGAUUGUAUAUAAAUAUGUUUGUUUAUGUAUACGUAGAUAUGUAUAUAUAUAUAUAUGUGUGUGUGUGUGUUUCGAUUUGAGAUGGGUUUUCCUUGAUUCGAUCUAACGUGGUAACCAGAGGGAUCGUGAUCGCGAAAGAGCUCAGGCUCGAGGCACCGCCAAGGGUAAAGGCAAGGACGAUGGAUUAACCCCCGAGCAGCGUCGCGAAAGCGAUGGGAAGGCACUUCAAGAGAAGGCUGCGAAGAAGGCGGCCGAGGGGGCAGGAAGUGGCCACUCUGAAGGUAAAAGCACCAAGAAAUAACAGAAUUGGAAACAUAUAUUAUUAUGGGUUUGCUUUUAAUUUUUCAUAUUUUGUUUGAGGAGAAUGGUAUUUGGGUGUUUGUGAAUCAAUGUUUAAUGGGUUUGUGUUUUUGCAUCUAUUUUGGGUGUAUUUUUACCUUUGGAUCGUCUCAUUAGAGAUAAUAUUUUAAAAAAAUAUUAACUAACAGUUGUAUUUUUACCUUUGGAUCAUCUCAUUAGAGAUAAACAUCUAGUUCUUGAAUUUUUUCUUGUUUGUGUCUAUUAUAAUUUUUUUAUGAUUAUGUUAUUGUUCUUGCCA